UUCGCUUGCAAGCUUCGUUGCGUUCGCACGCCUUUUUCUGGCUCCCGUUGUCUCGCGUUCCGUCGUUGCUCUGGUGCCCUGGACUGCUGUGAAUGUGUUUUUAUGCCCUACUAGUGUUGCCUGGGGGUGCUUUUAUGUGUGCACCCUGGAAGAUAGGUCCAGAAGCCUUGCGAUUUCUUAGAUUAAAGCUAAGUGUACUCGUGACCCUACCAGCACUUUUCAAGAUACUUUCGACGUAUUCAUUGCGGUGAACAACGCGGUUGGGACAGCACACUCACGACGUGGGAAGGUCACAGAAAUGUUGAAAGACAUCAGGUAAGUUACGCUAAAGUGCGUUUCAGAGCUCUUCAGUGACUUGUGUUUACUGCGAAACAGAUUGGGCAUACGCUUCACCCGUGGAACUUCGUCAUGUGCUCCACGGCAGCACAAGCCUUUAUGGCUGUGCCACUAUGUGUGGAAACGUCGUAGCGGAUGAAUGUGAAUUAUGGAUCUCCAAGUGGCGUCGCCCGCGUCAUUUUCAAGAUUUUACCCGUUUUGAAGGCAAUAGGGCUGUUGAUAGGGAGAAUGCUAGGCUACUGCAGACUGCAACCAUAGGCGCUGUGUCUAAAGGUUAAGCUCACAUGACGCGGCAGGGAAGGGAGUCCGUGGCGAAAAGUGAAUAUAGCCGAAGUUGGAUAGCGUUAAUUUUUGCGCACGAAAGGCAAGCUGGACACAUCGCAAAUCUCCAGUUGUACGAAACACAGUGCAGCAUGGUCGUCGGUUAUGCCAGUGCUUCAACAUAUGUUUCAGCGUCGCACUUCGGACAUUGCGGGCAUAUACCUUUAAGUUUUUCCCCUUGUGGACCGAUGCUGUGUGUGUUCAUGGACAUCAUGUUUUCAAAGACAUGUAAGUUAUCAAUAAUAAUGCGAAAAAAAUGCUGGUAAUGUUACGCUGUGAUAUAAUACCUGGUGAGGUAAUACGAUGCUACGAUGCUAUG